GAUGAAGAACGUAGCGAAAUGCGAUAAGUAGUGUGAAUUGCAGAAUUCAGUGAAUCAUCGAAUCUUUGAACGCACAUUGCGCCCCUUGGUAUUCCAUGGGGCAUGCCUGUUCGAGCGUCAUUUGUACCCUCAAGCUAUGCUUGGUGUUGGGUGUUUGUCCUCUCCUUUUGCGAUUGGACUCGCCUUAAAGACAUUGGCAGCCAGUGUAUUGGUCUGAAGCGCAGCACAUUUUGCGAUUCUUGCUGAUAAUCACUAGCGUCCAGUAAGCCUAUUUUAACACUUUUGACCUCGGAUCAGGUAGGGAUACCCGCUGAACUUAAGCAUAUCAAUAAGCGGAGGA
rnacentral:misc_RNA from 1 species